ACCGAAGAGCCUGUGGGGGCCGCUCAGCAAGAAGGAAAUUCAGUGGCGCAUCUGCCCACAUUCUGGAAGGACCCCUGGUCCCCUUCUGUCAGCCCUCCCACCUGCCUCCCUCCUCGUGCCGCUCCUCUGAUCCCUCACUCCACUCCGGCUCCUGCGGCGCUGACGGAGCGGGGUGGGGGGAGUUGCUGCGUCUGGGGGUGUAAGAACCUUAGAUGUCACGGAGCUUGGAAUUGUGCCAACGGGCAGGCUGAAGGGGCCUUAAAGUGCUGCCAAGCCCUCCUCAUGCCACACCAGCUUCCCUGCAGAGCCAGGAUGGGGACCCCGAUGUCUGCCCUGUGGGCUGGAGCAGGCGGCGACUCUGUCCUGGCUGUGAGAUCUCCUCCACCGCCCCUGACUCCUACCCUGUCAGGCCCACCCCCAGUCUCUUAUCACCGCUGGAGGGGAAUCUGAGCAAUCCCCUACGGGGUGACAACCUGCAACUACAUGGCAUCGUGCACGUGGAUCCACUGCAGCAUGGAGCGGGGUCUGCAUCAGGAAAGACACUCCUCCUCUUCCCCCGGCCGCAGGUGGGCCUCACUGAGAGACCUGGAGAAUGGGUUUGCUGGGGAAGGCAGGCUUCGAAAGCCCCGGGUCAUUGCAGCUGCCUCCCAGCCCAGCUCUCUGCCAGCCUCCCCGUGGGACAUGUUAUAAACAUCAGAGUUGGAUGGGCCUUGGCCAGGCACGGUGGCUCACUCACGCCUGUAAUCCCAGCACUUUGGGCCACCGAGGCGGGUGAAUCACCUUAGGUCAGGAGUUUGAGACCAGCCUGGCCAACAUGGUGAAAUCCUGUCUCUACUAAAAAUACAAAAAUUAGCUGGGCAUGGUGGUGGGCGCCUGUAAUC
ensembl:lncRNA novel transcript